rnacentral:lncRNA from 1 species
GUAUUCUAGACAUUCUUAUCAUUAUACAGAUGAGGACAUUUGAGACUCAGAGAGUUUAACUGAUGAACCCAUGAUAUUACAGAUAGUGAAAAUCAAAAGAAACCUAUGAUGAUUUGGUUCCAAUGAUUCAGGAUGUAAGUUCUCGGGAGUGAAUUUUAAGGUUUUGCAGACAUUGUGGAAAUGCAUUACAGGUGCCAUAAACUCUGAGAGGCCUUGUUAUCCCAAGGUAUCUUACAGAAAGAUUAACCUUUACUCAUAAAAAGGAGGAAGAAGAUUGAUAGAAAUUCUAAGAGCACAUACUAAGUGAGUAAAACAAAACUACAAAAAUGCUUUGGGAAUAAGCAGAUAUCUAUGCACCAAGCAAUGGUAAAGGUCAACAACAGAUAC